UACGGAGGAUCCGAGCGUUAUCCGGAUUUAUUGGGUUUAAAGGGUGCGCAGGCGGGAGAUUAAGUCGACGGUGAAAUUUUGCAGCUCAACUGUAAAAGUGCCUUCGAAACUGGUUUCCUUGAGUGUAGAUGAAGUAGGCGGAAUUUGUGGUGUAGCGGUGAAAUGCAUAGAUAUCACGAGGAACUCCGAUUGCGCAGGCAGCUUACUAAACUACUACUGACGCUCAGGCACGAAGGCGUGGGGAUCAAACAGGAUUAGAUACCCCCGUAGU
rnacentral:rRNA from 1 species